UGCUACGGGCGCUCGUUCAAGAUACCGGAGGAUGUUGUUGUCAUAAUGUGCGGGACUAAAACGAUUAUUCAUUACCAGCCCUAGUUGGGGAAAUGUGCCCUUGUAUCCUUGUAUGCAUGACAGUAGUACAAACAUGAAUAACAUUGCUGCUUUUGGUGUUCAGGCAAGCACAUCUGUUCACGGUGCUAGGCUACAUCACGUAGCAUGCCAGACGGUCCCACCAAAGAUGCGCACACAUGGCACGCAGCUUUCUAUGAAAACACUGCGACCUCACUACAAAAGUACAGGCACACAGAAAACUGUGCUGCACUGAUGUCGGUGUUGGGACCUCAGCUGUAAGAGACCUCGCUUGGAGGAGGGAGAGGACAACCCAAGUUGUUCAAGUAUGGACUUCGGAGAGCCACAGGAUGCUACCUAUGAUCCUGAUGACUCGAUCAGUCUUGACUGAGUCAGCAGAUGUGACAUCACGUGGAUAACCUGUUGGACCUCAUCUUUCACCAGGUUUUUCAGGACCCAGCCCCAUAUGUGAAUGAGGUGCUGAAGAUCUCAAAACCUGAGGACCUCUCUGCUAAGUAUGAGAAACCUGACAAGCAGGAAGUUAUAGCCAGCUAUGUGUCGAGUUUCAAUCAAGGGCAGUUCUGAACCCUGUAUAACUUCCCUGAGCAUCAGGGAACACUCUGCGUAUCUGGAGCACCGAGCAGGAGGGCAGGACCACCCUGAUUCUCCGGCCCAGAUAGCCUCAACACCAGCUCACAAAGCUUCUCUACGACAAAUACCUGUAACGGCUGAGCAAAGUUCACAUUGUAUUUAGAGAAUAAAGGUGACACACAAAUAUAAAGUGUUCCUUUGUUUACAGUAUGGCUACUGAUGGCACAAAUUGUAUUUUUGUAAUGAAUGUAUUUAUUAUACUUGGUAUUUUUUGUAUUUAUUACCUCUGUCCCAGCCAGUACAUUUAAUAACUAUUUUUUAAAAGCUCUGUGGCAUUCU